rnacentral:misc_RNA from 1 species
GCAAGAAGCGGUCGGAACCAAGGUCGGAACUUGAACUUGAACUGAGGAAGUUGAAGUGGUUUUAUGUUGUUCCUGGACAAACAGCGCUGCGGAGACUCUGUUGCGCGUCUUGGGGGAGUAUGAGCAUGUUCUCCCCGAGGACGCGCCCCGACGCCCCCACGUGAAGAAGGAAGACGAUGAAGAGGAGGAGCCACGGUACACUGUCUGGGUGGAGGGCUUCAGCAUCGGAGAGGCGGGCAGCCUGGUCGACGCCCUCACCCUGUGGGCGUGUGCCUUCUUCAUCUUUCAUCAAAAAACCGGCCGGCUGCAGAAAAACACAUGCUGGUUCAUGCGGUGCUAUAUCCUAGACCUACCUGUGGAAAAGGCGGUGGACCGAAACGUGGCCAAGGCCAUCCAGGAUAUGGUGCGCUGAAGCCUUGAAGGCUUCUCGGUCGCAAGGGGCGGCCAGCAGCUGCGCCCAUGUGCUAUCGUAGGCACGUCCAUGUGGUUCGCCGGCCGCCCGGCUGUCGGGCGCGCUGGAGCAGCGGAAGAGCGCGUUUUUGUUUCGUAGGCUUCUUGUGCGGCUGUUCUCCCGCUCUCUGUUUUCUGUCCAUCGUUUCCUGGUGCCUUCCCGUGUUGGCGGACGGCGGGGGCGGGCGGGAGUGCGCUCUUCGUCGCGCCGCCGGCCCCUUCGCUCGCUCGCUCGCUGGCGGCCGGCCGGUGCGAACAGCGCGGGCCGUUCGGGCGCCGCUGGUGUCGGACUGUGCGCGCGACACGAAAUCUCAGGAAAUAAAUACAUUUCAACUUUAAAAUUGUUUGAGUUUUCUUCCGGAUUCUUAGGCACGUCUUUGAGAACGCUUUUGGGGAAUUUAG